AGAGUUUGAUCCUGGCUCAGAACGAACGCUGGCGGCAGGCUUAACACAUGCAAGUCGAACGAUGCCUUCGGGCAUAGUGGCGCACGGGUGAGUAACGCGUGGGAAUAUGCCUUUCGGUGGGGGAUAACUCCGGGAAACUGGAGCUAAUACCGCAUACGCCCCUUGGGGGAAAGAUUUAUCGCCGAAAGAUUAGCCCGCGUCCGAUUAGCUUGUUGGUGAGGUAAUGGCUCACCAAGGCGACGAUCGGUAGCUGGUCUGAGAGGAUGAUCAGCCACACUGGGACUGAGACACGGCCCAGACUCCUACGGGAGGCAGCAGUGGGGAAUAUUGGACAAUGGGCGCAAGCCUGAUCCAGCCAUGCCGCGUGAGUGAUGAAGGCUUUCGGGUCGUAAAGCUCUGUCGAGGGGAAAGAAGUGUGCUUUGGCUAAUAUCCAUUGUACUUGACGGUACCCCUAAAGGAAGCACCGGCUAACUCCGUGCCAGCAGCCGCGGUAAUACGGGGGGUGCAAGCGUUGUUCGGAAUUAUUGGGCGUAAAGCGCGUGUAGGCGGUCUGAUUAGUCUGAUGUGAAAGCCCUGGGCUCAACCCAGGAAGUGCAUUGGAUACUGUCAGACUUGAAUACGGGAGAGGGUAGUGGAAUUCCUAGUGUAGGAGUGAAAUCCGUAGAUAUUAGGAGGAACACCGGUGGCGAAGGCGGCUACCUGGACCGAUAUUGACGCUGAGACGCGAAAGCGUGGGUAGCAAACAGGAUUAGAUACCCUGGUAGUCC
rnacentral:rRNA from 1 species